rnacentral:rRNA from 1 species
GACGAACGCUGGCGGCGUGCCUAAUACAUGCAAGUAGAACGCUGAAGGAGGAGCUUGCUCUUCUGGAUGAGUUGCGAACGGGUGAGUAACGCGUAGGUAACCUGCCUGGUAGCGGGGGAUAACUAUUGGAAACGAUAGCUAAUACCGCAUAACAGUAGAUGUUGCAUGACAUUUACUUAAAAGGUGCAAUUGCAUCACUACCUGAUGGACCUGCGUUGUAUUAGUUAGUUGGUGGGGUAACGGCUCACCAAGGCGACGAUACAUAGCCGACCUGAGAGGGUGGUCGGCCCACAUGGGACUGGGACACGGCCCAGAACCCUACGGGAGGCAGCAGUAGGGAAUCUUCGGCAAUGGACGGAAGUCUGACCGAGCAACGCCGCGCGAGUGAAGAAGGUUUUCGGAUCGUAAAGCUCUGUUGUAAGAGAAGAACGAGUGUGAGAGUGGAAAGUUCACACUGUGACGGUAUCUUACCAGAAAGGGACGGCUAACUACGUG